AACACUUCUCCAGCUACCCACAAAUGUGCCGCAGCUCUUCAUUUGCUCCUCCACCAUUCUAGUCCUCUCCCUUUUCCGACCAUGAAACGACGAAGCGAGGUCGCUUUCCGACGAAUCUCCCGACGGCGUGGGCGUUGUGCAAGCGAAGACGCGGGGCGGUUACUGCGACGUGCGUGCUGAAACUGCUGCAACAGAGGCUGCUUCUAAGUUUCUGCUGUUUUGUUUUUGUUAUGGGCUAAUAUUUGGGCUAAUUUGGGUUUAAUCUAGGCUUGGGUUAAUUGGGUUUAGUAAUGGGCUAUUAGCUUUUUAGUCAGGCCAAAAUUGGCCUAUUACACCGGCUAAACUCCACUGUAUAAAAAAGCAUUAAGCCUUACAACAUCUCAACCUUUGAUUCCUUGAAUGAAAAAGAAUAUUUAGAAGUA